AACGUUGGACACGUUUCGGAGAGCCCCACAGCUCUCCUGUCGGAAGUAGCCCACCGCAUGGCGAAGCAACGCUCC
rnacentral:ncRNA from 1 species